GACAGAGGGGGCAAGCGUUGCUCGGAAUCACUGGGCGUAAAGAGCGCGCAGGCGGUCGUUCAAGUCGCGUGUGAAAGCCCCCGGCUCAACUGGGGAGGGUCACACGAUACUGAUCGACUCGAAGGCAGGAGAGGGUAGUGGAAUUCCCGGUGUAGUGGUGAAAUGCGUAGAUAUCGGGAGGAACACCAGUGGCGAAGGCGACUACCUGGCCUGUUCUUGACGCUGAGGCGCGAAAGCUAGGGGAGCAAACGGG
rnacentral:rRNA from 1 species